rnacentral:sRNA from 1 species
CCAUGGGGUGGGGGGUCUGGGUUCCAUCUCCUGCAGACCUGGAUGAAUGCGUCUCCCAGGAGCACCGGUGCAGCCCAAGAGGUGACUGUCUCAAUGUCCCUGGCUCCUACCGCUGCACCUGCCGCCAGGGCUUUGCCGGGGAUGGCUUCUCCUGCGAAGACAGGGAUGAGUGUGCCGAGAACGUGGACCUCUGUGACAACGGGCAGUGCCUCAAUGCGCCCGGCGGGUACCGCUGUGAAUGUGAGAUGGGCUUUGACCCCACCGAGGACCACCGGGCCUGCCAGGAUGUGGACGAGUGUGCGCAAGGGAACCUCUGUGCGUUUGGGAGCUGUGAGAACCUGCCUGGAAUGUUCCGCUGCAUCUGC